rnacentral:rRNA from 1 species
AUAGUCUGGGAUACCACUUGGAAACAGGUGCUAAUACCGGAUAAGAAAGCGGAUCGCAUGAUCAGCUUUUAAAAGGCGGCGUAAGCUGUCGCUAUGGGAUGGCCCCGCGGUGCAUUAGCUAGUUGGUAAGGUAAAGGCUUACCAAGGCGAUGAUGCAUAGCCGAGUUGAGAGACUGAUCGGCCACAUUGGGACUGAGACACGGCCCAAACUCCUACGGGAGGCAGCAGUU